rnacentral:rRNA from 1 species
CCUACGGGUGGCAGCAGUGAGGAAUAUUGGUCAAUGGGCGAGAGCCUGAACCAGCCAAGUCGCGUGAGGGAUGACGGUCCUAUGGAUUGUAAACCUCUUUUGUCGGGGAACAAAGGCGUCCACGUGUGGACUGAUGAGUGUACCCGAAGAAAAAGCAUCGGCUAACUCCGUGCCAGCAGCCGCGGUAAUACGGAGGAUGCGAGCGUUAACCGGAUUUAUUGGGUUUAAAGGGAGCGUAGGCCGCAUGUCAAGCGUGCUGUGAAAUGUCCGGGCUCAACCCGGGCCUUGCAGCGCGAACUGGCGUGCUUGAGUCCGCGGAAAGCAGGCGGAAUUCGUCGUGUAGCGGUGAAAUGCUUAGAUAUGACGAAGAACCCCGAUUGCGAAGGCAGCUUGCUGCAGCGGAACUGACGCUGAUGCUCGAAAGCGCGGGUAUCGAACAGGAUUAGAUACCCUUGUAGUC